UACGGGGGGAGCAAGCGUUGUUCGGAUUUACUGGGCGUAAAGGGCGCGUAGGUGGUUCUGUAUGUCUACCGUGAAAGCGUACGGCUCAACCGUAUUUUGUCGGUGGAAACUGCCUGGCUUGAGUUCGGGAGAGGGAAGCGGAAUUCCGGGUGUAGCGGUGAAAUGCGUAGAUAUCCGGAGGAACACCGGUGGCGAAGGCGGCUCACUGGUCCGGUACUGACGCUGAUGUGCGAAAGCGUGGGGAGCAAACAGG
rnacentral:rRNA from 1 species